rnacentral:rRNA from 1 species
GAGUGAACGCGUAGCGGGAGGCGUUAACACAUGCAAGUCGAGGGCGAGCACGAUGUAGCAAUACGUUGGUGGCGACCGGCGCACGGGUGAGUAACACGUAUGCAACCUACCCUGUACAGGGGGAUAACCCGGAGAAAUUCGGACUAAUAUCCCAUAAUGAUAUUUGAGGGCAUCCUUGGAUAUUUAAAGCUCAGGCGGUACGGGAUGGGCAUGCGGAACAUUAGCUAGUUGGGAGGGUAACGGCCUACCAAGGCAACGAUGUUUAGGGGACCUGAGAGGGUGAUCCCCCACACUGGUACUGAGACACGGACCAGACUCCUACGGGAGGCAGCAGUGAGGAAUAUUGGUCAAUGGGCGCAAGCCUGAACCAGCCAUCCCGCGUGCAGGAAGACGGCCCUAUGGGUUGUAAACUGCUUUUCCAGGGGGAGAAUUUUUCUGUCGUGACAGGAAUUGACGGUACCCUGGGAAUAAGCAUCGGCUAACUCCGUG